rnacentral:rRNA from 1 species
AUGGCAGACUCUCUGUUUCUCGUUCUCAAAAAAGUUGCCCUGAUCCUGGGAGAAGGGGCGUUAGAGAAGCUGAGAACAGAGGUGGCGGAGGAAGCAUCGGCUGCCACUGAUUUCGAUCAUGGCAUGAAACAGAUCGUGGGCGAGUUCACGAUUCUGCAGGCAUUUAUUGGCCAGGUUCGCACACGGAAUGCUGGUGACAAGACAUUUGAUGCCUGGCUGGACCAAGUUACAAAUGUUGCACAUCAGGUAGAAGAGAUCAUUGACGAGUAUAGUUUCCUUACUACGCAAGCCGUGGUCAUAAACAACUUCUUCAAGAGGAAAUUCCAUCAGGCAAAGAGCUUUGCAGCAUGGCAGAGCCUGUCAAGCCAGAUUGAUCAAGUAGAAACUCGAAUUCAGCAUCUAUCAACAGUGAAAGAUCGUUAUGGCAUUUCCGUAGGAGAACCGGGCAGGAGUAGCACGUCGCAAUAUGCCAGGCAGCUCUCUGUAUCAGAUUCUCCUUGCCUAUCUGAUGAUACUGAAUUAGUGGGGAAUGCCUACGAAAUUGGAAGGUUGACACAAUGGUUACUGUCGGAGCGGCAAGACCGAUCGAUCAUGUCCAUCCUUGGUAUGGGAGGUUUAGGCAAAACAACCAUAGCGAGCAGUAUCUACAAAAUUAAAAGAAUUAGCAGGAUGUUUGAUUGUUUUGCAUGGGUUACUCUAUCUCAGAAUUGUCAAGUUGAAGACCUAGUGAGGCAAAUCAUGAAGCAGCUGAUGGACCAAAGAGCUUACAUCGCUAGUGGUAUCGAGACUAUGAGUCAUGUAAGACUAAUCGAGGAACUUCAGAGCUACCUGUGUGACAGGAAAUAUCUCAUUGUCUUGGAUGAUGUAUGGGAUAAACAUGGCUGGUUAUUCUGUUCAUUUGUAAGAAACGAUCGUGGAAGUAGGGUACUAGUGACAACUCGCAAAAAGGACGUUGCUUUGUUAGCAGAUGAUGGAUUAGUUGUGAAGCUUAAAUUUCUUCUUCUGUCAAAAAGGCAAUCCGUAGAUUAG